CUCAGCAGUGUCAGGGCCUUAAUGGUGAGAUUAAUGCUUUGCCGCUCCCAGACUGGGCCAUUGCUCUACAAAAAAAAAAAAAAAAAAAAAAAAAAAAAAAAAAAAAAAAUCCUGGCUUGAGAGCCUGAUGAGAUGCUUUUUAGGUGAAAUCUGGAGCUGUGCUGAUUUGCUAUGCUAUGUGGGUGAACCUGUUCUCUCCAUGGGCUGUAAUGAAUUGAAGCAACCAAUGGAUGGCUUGGGGUCCAGUACCAGGUUCUGCUGCCUAAAUAUACAGGAUAAAUGGGUUGGAAACAUCCCUAUCAUGAAAGAUGCUCAUUCCAAUUUCAUGGCACCCAAAGAGACCCUGAGCUUCCUGUGAAGCACCAGAUAUCAUUGUUACUCGGUGAGUUACGACUGCCUUCUUCUCUUUCUUCUUUUUGUUCUCUUUUCUGAAAACAAAAUUUUGACUUAUUUUCACUCCCUCUGUUCCUUCUUCCUCUGACCUCACCCUAGAAUCUAGCCCUUCCGGAGAUGGAAAAGGAAGAUGGAUACUGUUGGCAAAUGUUUUAUUUGUUUUCUUUAUUUCAUAGAAAGCUUAAUUUCACUGGAAUAAGAGUAAAGCCCCAUUUGUGGAGUCAGCUCCAGAGUAAUCUUCUAUCCGUUGACAGUAGUGAGAGCACAGAGUAAGCGUGCUGAGUAAGAGCCGCUGAGUGCGUUUGUCAACACUGGGCGGAAGUUCUUCUCUACUUCGACUGUUUUGGCUACGGUCAUGCUGCUCUGUCUAGAAACUCAUUUCCUUGGACCUCGCGUAGAGCCAUGUGCCUGGUCCUGGAUCAAGGGGGAUUACUGGGGAGUAGAAUACACUUUAGGUUUUUGCUUGUCAUCUAAUUAGGUUCUAUUUUGUCCUAUCCUUUUGCAAUUUUGCAAUUAAUGUAUGGUCACUGCCAAAAAAAAAAAAAAAGAAAAAAGAAGGAAAAACCCUGAAAAAUGUAACAAUGUCAGCCAUCAUUUAACAGCAUAUAAAUCAUGAUUGUUAAUAGUUAUAGUAUGUUUUUCUUCUAUUCCUUGUGUGUGUUUGCGUGUGUGUGUGUGUUGUGUGUGUGUGUGUGUGUGACAGAGACAGAGAUAGAGAGACAGAGAUAGAGAAACAGAAGAGAAGAAGAAGAAGAAGGAGAAGAAAGAAAAUAAAGAAAGAAAAAGAAAGAAAGGAAGGAAGGAA
rnacentral:lncRNA from 1 species